rnacentral:rRNA from 1 species
UGGGGAAUUUUGCACAAUGGGCGGAAGCCUGAUGCAGCAAUGCCGCGUGAGUGACUAAGGCCUUAGGGUUGUAAAGCUCUUUCAGAAGCGAAAAGGGGUUAGGCAGUUAAUACCUGCUUAGCUUGAUGUUAACUUCAGAAGAAGCACCGGCUAACUCCGUGCCAGCAGCCGCGGUAAUACGGAGGGUGCGAGCGUUAAUCGGAAUUACUGGGCGUAAAGGGUGCGUAGGCGGUUAAUUAUGUCAGAUGUGAAAUCCAGUGGCUCAACCACUGAACUGCAUUUGAAACUGAUUAACUAGAAUAUGAUAGAGGGAAGUGGAAUUUCUAGUGUAGCGGUGAAAUGCGUAGAUAUUAGAAGGAACACCAGAGGCGAAGGCGGCUUCCUGGAUCAUUAUUGACGCUGAGGCACGAAAGCGUGGGUAGCAAACAGG